AUCGCAGACUCACGCCGCCCUCCGCACGCGGAAUUCUGCCCACUGCCGCCUCACGCCACCCUCUGCCUGCCGCCCUCCGUGCGCCGCAGCCUCAUGCCACCCUCUGCACACGGAACGCCGCCUGCCGCCACCUCACACCACCCGGUGCAAGCAGAACGCCGCACGCCGCCCGGCGCACGCCGCCAGCAACCCGCCGCCGGCUGGCCCGGUGCUGCGGGGGUCGUAGAUGGCGGCCAGACUUUGCGGCACCGCCUGGUAAGCCGCUGCAGUGUUUCGCGCCGCCGGUUGACUCAACGGUGGAACAGUUGUUGCCUCCUAUAUCACCGUUCCAACUAGGCAAGCAUACGUCGCAUUUUACUUCGCCAGCAACAGCCAUAUCAGAUUUUGGAUCAGAUGGCAGACGAGAUGGGUGACAAUUUCUGGACAUUGGAAGAGCAAGAGGAGUACUCGAAGAUUACUGCUACGAGGUUUAAGUUAGAGGAUGAUGGAUUCAACUUCUAUAAUACGUACGCAAAAGAGAAAGGGUUUAGUGUUAGGAAGAAUUUUUCCAGACGUGAUCAAGUGACCGGAAAGAUAAUACUUAGGGAGUAUACAUGUUUUAGGGAAGGAUACAGGAAUGUGUUUAUAUGGAACCAACCAUUAGAACAAGAGAACAAGUAGAUUGGUUGUAAUGCUAUGUUAGUAAGAACAGGUAUAAUAAACUGAUUAGGCGGACACCAAAACUAUGUCAUAUAAUCGAAUUCAUACGUGGAAGAAAGAGAAUUGAUGAGAGAGAAGAAAGCCGGCGACAAAUCUAUCGCC